rnacentral:lncRNA from 1 species
UGAAGUUCCACCUGACGGGCCUUCACACGCUAAGCAACAGAGCUUAGCGGGUGCGUUGUGUUCAGAUGGACAAAUGAGAAGUUUGAAGAAAGACGCCAAGAAUAGCACUCCUCUCCCACUGCCUGGUGGGGGAGAGAGAGAAACCUGAGGACACAGAGGUGAAAAUAACUGAGAGGGAAGCAGUGUCGGGAGCCAAAACUUACAGAUUGAUACUCAGAAGACCACAAAAAUCAAUGAACAGAUAAGAAGAAUGCCAACGGCAGAGAGAGAGAGAGAGUACAAGUGGGGGAAGCAGCAGAGGGUGAGGGAGCAGAAGCAGACUCCCUGCUGAGCUGCGAUCCCGAUGUGGGUCUCGAUCCCAGGACCCUGAGAUCAUGACCAGAACUGAAGGCAGAUGCUUAACUGACUGAACCACCCAGGCACUCCUGAAGGUAAGUAAGUUAUCUGAGAAGUUUAUCACUUCUAUAUCAACACAG